UGCGUAGGCGGAAUGAUAAGUUAGUGGUGAAAGCCCCCGGCUUAACCGGGGAAUUGCCAUUAAUACUGUCAUUCUUGAGUAUAGUUGAAGUGGGCGGAAUGUAUCAUGUAGCGGUGAAAUGCUUAGAUAUGAUACAGAACACCGAUAGCGUAGGCAGCUUGCUAAACUAUAACUGACGCUCAGGCACGAAAGCGUGGGGAGCAAACAGGAUUAGAUACGCUGGUAGUCC
rnacentral:rRNA from 1 species